GGACCGGAGCGAUCCCUCCCUCCCGCUGCAAACAGACACCGCCGGGGGCUCGGGGGACGGCUCCGAACAAUGCACGGGGCGCACAAACGCAAUUCCUCAGCCCCAGCAGGUCUCCAGGGCAAUCCCUGCUCUGCCAUAACGCGCCGCAGGAAGAACAGCAAAGACAGUCACCAAGGAUAACUUGAGACAUGCAGACCACCUGGAAGUUACCUGAAAACAAGGUGCUCCCUGGAUUGGCAGCAGAACUCCAGGCACACCAAAUGCACGAGGCAAUUUGAUUACCUUCGCUGUCAAGACAGUCUUCGGGAAGGAUUAGCAGUGUCUCAGCCCCUCA